rnacentral:tRNA from 1 species
GGGCUGGGGCUCAGUGGUAGAGCACUCACCUGGCAAGGGUGAGGCACUGAGUUCAAGCCUUAGCAUGGUGUA